CCUACGGGAGGCUGCAGUGGGGAAUAUUGGACAAUGGGGGCAACCCUGAUCCAGCCAUGCCGCGUGUGUGAAGAAGGCCCUCGGGUUGUAAAGCACUUUCAGUGAGGAAGAACGCCUGGUGGUUAAUACCCAUCAGGAAAGACAUCACUCACAGAAGAAGCACCGGCUAACUCCGUGCCAGCAGCCGCGGUAAUACGGAGGGUGCGAGCGUUAAUCGGAAUUACUGGGCGUAAAGCGCGCGUAGGUGGCUUGAUAAGCCGGUUGUGAAAGCCCCGGGCUCAACCUGGGAACGGCAUCCGGAACUGUCAAGCUAGAGUGCAGGAGAGGAAGGUAGAAUUCCCGGUGUAGCGGUGAAAUGCGUAGGGAUCGGGAGGAAUACCAGUGGCGAAGGCGGCCUUCUGGACUGACACUGACACUGAGGUGCGAAAGCGUGGGUAGCAAACAGGAUUAGAUACCCUAGUAGUC
rnacentral:rRNA from 1 species